rnacentral:rRNA from 1 species
ACGCUCGACACCUACGGGAGGCGGCAGUCGGGAAUAUUGCGCAAUGGAGGAAACUCUGACGCAGUGACGCCGCGUAUGGGAAGAAGGUUUUCGGAUUGUAAACCAUUUUAGACAAGGAAGAAACAAGACAGUACUUGUAGAAUAAGCUCCGGCUAACUACGUGCCAGCAGCCGUGGUAAUCUGAGCGGGCUGGCAAGGC